CUCCUGAAGGAACGUUGAAGACGACGACGUUGAUAGGCCGGGUGUGUAAGCGCAGCGAUGCGUUGAGCUAACCGGUACUAAUGAACCGUGAGGCUUAACCUU
rnacentral:rRNA from 16 species